GAUAGCUACAGCUCUGCCUCAAAAUUGAGUUCGAUUCGGCCCCGUAGAAAAAUAGAUGUAAUCUUUCAUCUUCCACCUGUCUUUUGUGACUAAUUUUAUUUUUAAAAAUACACAGAAAGAAAAGAAAAAUCCUGAGGUUAAGUAAUGAUAUAGAGUUCUAACUGGUCAGGGCCCAUCAAAAACAGUGAAGAUUAAUUGGGAAGAUGUGACUUUGCUGAAACCCUGCAAAACUGCAGGACACUUUCAUAAAACCAAAGAGAAAUGUCCUGUUCUAAGUGGCUUCAGGGAAAUCAUGCCAUCGCAGAAUAUAUUCCUCCAAAGACUCAUGGUCGGCUUGGGGACUUCAAAGCUUCCCAUUUUUGCACACUGACUGCUUUACUCUGGCGUAAACUCGGGGAUUUCACAUCCCAAGCUCAUUUUUACAGGACCAGGCCGAGGUAGGAAUCAGCAGAGAAGGCUUCUUCCUCUCACAUGAGCUCUCUGCACCCCUAGCACCCCCACCCCCAGACUUUCGCAGCUACGUUAUCAUAAGGCUCUGGCUUUAUCCUGAGAGUUUGUCUCCGUUUUAGAAAAAGACUAACUACAUCUGAGUCUUCCUGGUUGGGCUCCACUGUGGCCCCAUGAAGCACAAGCUCCGAUACCCACGGUCUGUUGGGCACGCAUCUGAACACCUUUGCUCACGAAAGUACAUCACCACCCAUGACAAGGCCGGCUGGAUGCUCCCACCAAGUCCAUUUAUCCUUCUUCCCCGGUUCACACUUCUCCUUCCUGCCUGGCCUUCCUCGGAGUUGGGAGCCGCCACAUGACUGAGCUCCAGCCAACAGAAGGCGGAGAAGCAAUGAAGGCGACUUCCAGGUUUGGUCCCUGAUGGUCAUGCCCGAUGCACCAUCCUCCUCCUGGGUCUGCUGGGCUGAAGGAAGAGGUGUCCGAGAUCGCAGAGGAAGGCAGAGGCAGCCAGGUCGGGGCCCCGUUGGCCCCCUAUACAAACAGGUCACUACACGGACCUGGUGAGGAGUUUGGGGUAGACCAGAAACCUCUGUCACCCAAGACCCAUCAAAGCAUGCAGAAACAAAAGAAGAAUGAGUAUAUCCAAUUCUGGGUCUCUGCAAGCCCAUCUGAAUUUGUCCCUCUGGCUGAAGUGCAAUUGGAGGAGAAGAUUCACAAGUCAACUAUGAGCACAAGCAGGAUCCUCUCCUGUGUUCUAAGGGAAAAUUACUUUGGCAAUCAAGCACAGCACCUGCUGGAGGGCAGACUAAACAAAAAUUAA
rnacentral:lncRNA from 12 species